GUUGCCUUUUGUUGAAUCAUGGGAGUUACACUGGUGAAGUCAUAGAAUCAUAGAACGGUAAGGGGUUGGAAUGGACCUUAAAGAUUGUCUAGGCCCAGACUCUUGCCUGCCCUGGGCAGGGAUACCUCCCAUUAGACCAGGUUGCUCAAGGCCUUAUGCAACCUGACAUUGAACCCUGACAGAGUUGGGCAAUCCACAGCCUCUCUGGGAACCUGUUCCAGUGCUUUCUCUGUGGCACACUGUCCUUGCUGGGAGUUGAAGUAGAAUGUAUGCUCAAGAGCAUUGUUGACUCAUACUCAGCAUGAAGAUGGAAGAUUUUUUUUUAGCCAUGGGUGACAUCAGGUGCUUGAGGUGGUGAGCUGAGGCUAUGUGUGGGCUCAUAAAAAUGGAGCGGAGGACAUGGACUGGCCAGUGCCAGUACAGGGAGUAGCCUAUCGCUUUGAGGACCAUCCUUUUGAAAUCUUUACUUCCCUGUCCCACAUGAGGACUGCCAUCUCUUCUUUACUCUGCCCCAGGAGGGCAGCCAGAGGAUGGAUGGACGGACAGACGCUGCUACUGCCUGAAGUUACAUUGUAGAUGCUGAAAUCACUGCACCUUAAAAACAAAAAGAUUAAGCCACACUGCAUUCCUGUAAGUAAAAGCUUUUCCGGUACCUUUUGUCCGUAUUUUUCCUCCAUAUGCAUCCAAAGUGUUAGCACAGUAGCUGGUCUUGGAUAAAGGUCAGAGUCCCCUUGAAUGGGAUUUAGAAGUUCAAAGGGUGUUUUAUUUAAAAAUUAAAAAGGAACUUACAUCUUGCAGAUCUUUAAUUUCAGAGCACUGAAUAGAUCAUUCUUUCCUGCUUUGUUUUGAAUAGUAUUAGGAAUACUGUGCAUCUCUGUUUGUUGAUUUACAGUUGCUGUCGCUUUGUCAGUGAGGAUUUCUGCACGUUGGUGCAGAGAUAACAGAAAGUAGCAGAAGAUUCCUUAUAGCACAAAACUCAGUUUAUUCUCUUCUCAUGAUGUCGUAACAAAUUCUUCUCCUUUGUAUGAGAAAAAAACAAACAACUUUCUGAUGACAUCACAGGGGACUUCAGCUGCUUUAGGGUGCAGAUGAAGGGAGAAAUGCCUAAUUCAUCUCUGCUGUGACACAACAAAACAGUCAAAAUAACAUCUACGUCUCAUCAAGAAAGGAAUCUUUUUCUAAGGGCAUAGUUAUUCCAUAAAUGCAAGUCAGAUUGCACAUCACUCUGAUCCACCCUUAUUUAGAAUCUGUUUAUUGAAUGUAUUUGGGUUAAUAAUUAAGAUUUGGAACUUCAGUGACUGAACAACAGACAAGCAAAAGAGGAUUGGAAAAUAUAGCAGAUUCAGAUACUCUUAAGCAAAUUAAAUAAUAUAUGAAAAAAAUCCAGAAGCUUGUAGAAAGAAGGAAAAAGAUCAAUUUCAAUUGAACAGUGCAAAGCUGCGGAAUAUUACAAAGCAAAGUCAGUUUGUUUUCUUGUUUAAGAUCAAAAUGUGCAUUCUGUAAUGAAAUCCAGAGACUCCUUCCAAAGUAGUACUUUUGUACUUCAGUUUUAAAAUAUUUUAACUAUUAGAGGGGA
ensembl:lncRNA